CUUGUGUCUUUGUGAUUUCGAAGUUGCAUAAAUAUGUCAAAACUUGGAAACAUGGGCUGCAGGUCUGCACUUAUUAAUUUUUUUACAGAUUUGAUGCUCUUCUUCUACAUUGUGUUUUUAUUCAUUAUAUCUUCACGAGAUCAAUGUCCUUUAGUGGCUUGCAAUGGAUGGUUCAGAGCACGUGAGGGUAUGAGGCUUAUUAUAACAAUAGUUGUCGGAAUUG
rnacentral:lncRNA from 1 species